AUAUUGGACAAUGGGUGAGAGCCUGAUCCAGCCAUCCCGCGUGCAGGAAGACGGCCCUAUGGGUUGUAAACUGCUUUUAUACAGGAAUAAACCACCUUUCGUGAAGGGUGUUGAAGGUACUGUAUGAAUAAGCACCGGCUAACUCCGUGCCAGCAGCCGCGGUAAUACGGAGGGUGCAAGCGUUAUCCGGAUUUAUUGGGUUUAAAGGGUCCGCAGGCGGGCCUGUAAGUCAGGGGUGAAAGCCGGCAGCUUAACUGUCGAACUGCCUUUGAAACUGCAGGUCUUGAGUAAGAUUGAAGUAGCUAGAAUGUGUAGUGUAGCGGUGAAAUGCAUAGAUAUUACACAGAAUACCGAUAGCGAAGGCAGGUUACUAAGUCUUAACUGACGCUGAGGGACGAAAGCGUGGGGAGCGAACAGG
rnacentral:rRNA from 1 species